GUUGAAGCGGGUGGCGGGGCCUCUGCUUAGGACCUGCACAGAAGGGGAGAGGCAGCACCUCGAAAGGAGGGUCUCUGGAGUGUGGGGUUCAGGAGUUUGGAGAUCAGGUCAACUGAACGCACGCAUUUUUUCUAAGGGUCACUGUUUACAUGCCGGGCCCUGUGUUGGCACGCUCCUGGAGCAGUUUUAUUUGCUAUAAGAUGGAAACGGUUGUGGUGGGCAGUACAGAGAUGGAACGGUGGAGGAAUGUCAGAUGUACCUUACCUGCCCGCCUCCUGAGAGCCUCAGAGAUCUUGGGAUUCCAGUGCAA